AUGCGAGGAGUCUCUGCUCCUUUCCCCUUCCAGAUUUUUGCUUCAGCUGCGGCGCAGUCUGACCGAGCAGCUUCGAGGGUCUUCCGCCAGCGGCUUGUUGGUGCAGUGGAAUCCCCCAGGGAGCUGAGCAGUUCGUGGACUCUCCUCACCGGUGGGGCCAGGCAGUGUGUUUUGCUCGGUGUAUGUCCCAAGAACAGAUCGGAGCUUGCCACGAUUAUGCGGCACGAAAUCGGAGCUGAAGAAAUCGUUGCCCCUGUAAGAAAGCGGUGUGGCUACGUCCUGAUAUAUAUGAAGGAAGAUGUGAUACGGCGUAUUUCUGCUGUGUAUGGGGAUGUGCGUGUGGUGUUGAUUAAAUGGAGUCCUUUUCACCCCCGAGUUCAUUCAGCAAAUGUGCAUUAA
rnacentral:lncRNA from 1 species